ACUCCUACGGGAGGCAGCAGUGGGGAAUAUUGCACAAUGGGCGCAAGCCUGAUGCAGCCAUGCCGCGUGUGUGAAGAAGGCCUUCGGGUUGUAAAGCACUUUCAGUUGUGAGGAAAGGUUAGUCGCUAAUAAUCAGGCUAGCUGUUGACGUUAGCAACAGAAGAAGCACCGGCUAACUCCGUGCCAGCAGCCGCGGUAAUACGG
rnacentral:rRNA from 1 species